AUUGAACGCUGGCGGCAUGCUUUACACAUGCAAGUCGAACGGUAACAGCACUUCGGUGGCUGACGAGUGGCGAACGGGUGAGUAAUACAUCGGAACGUGCCUAGUAGUGGGGGAUAACUACUCGAAAGAGUAGCUAAUACCGCAUGAGAUCUAAGGAUGAAAGCAGGGGACCUUCGGGCCUUGCGCUACUAGAGCGGCUGAUGGCAGAUUAGGUAGUUGGUGGGAUAAAAGCUUACCAAGCCGACGAUCUGUAGCUGGUCUGAGAGGACGACCAGCCACACUGGGCCUUGGAACCCCCCCAGACUCCCCCGGGAGGCAGCAGUGGGGAAUUUUGGACAAUGGGCCAAAGCCUUGCCCAGCAAUGCCGCGUGCAGGAUGAAGCCCUUCGGGUGGUAAACUGCUUUUGUACGGAACGAAAACCCCUCUUCUAAUACGGGGGGGCCUUGCCGGUCCCGAAAGAAUAACCCCCGGCUACCUACGU
rnacentral:rRNA from 1 species